CACAGUCCCUGAGGGGAGCCUCUUAGAGCGUGAUGCAUAAAGUCGGAACAGUGAAGCCAAAGCUGCAUUAGAGAUGCUAGGAAGUUAGAGAUGCCAGGAACAUGGAAGGUCUGCUGAGAAAAGCCACAGGCCGUAUUUUCAACUUAAUACCUCACCUGCCUUGGUCAUUCGUGCCUGGGAAAAGGCCAGAAGAAUCACUGAGAUGCCAACCUUGGCAUUAUGAAGCCGCUGAAUCAAUACCAGCAGCUGCCUUUCUCCAGAUUCGUGUAUUAAUGUGAAAAGUGAUCUCUCUGUGUUAAGCUAGGUUGUCUUUCACUUGCAGCACAGCAUUCCUAUCUGAUGCACACAGUUCUGAAAACAAAACUGUCUGUGUUCAUGACUCAUUUUGCCCAGAAGCUUACCGCGCAGUUCCAACACUGUCAGAAGGCAGACAGAAUCAAAAGCCCGCAUGACUGUGUUUGUGUACAGCAUUCCUGAGCAUGUUAUGUGUCUACAGGUAAUUUCUGGCUACUGUACAAAGGAAUAUAUUAAGAUUAAAAGCAGAAGCUACCACCUAUGCUUCAUCAUGGAGACACUCAUGAAAGAGGACUUCCAGAAGUGCUACGGAGAACGGCAAGAACAAUGAGUGUCUGAAGUUCGGGUGAGUAUUUUGAGAGGGAUAAUGGCAAUGUUAUGUACACGCACCAACUCCCUCUGAGAAACAGAAUCAGCAUGUACU